AUUCAAAUGAAGAAAAAGAGUUCUCAGACAACCAGCCAGUGGAAGGAGACUCAAUGAAACUAUGAUUAAAAGGAAGCUCUGCAUCGUGAUUCAGCCAUCUGACCUUUCACCAGACACUGCACAAUAUGUCAAGGACGAACAUAAACAACACAGAUCUGUGCAAACUGGCCAGAAAAUAAUCUUUGGAUUUGUCUAUGUAGGUCUUUCCAGCUGACAAGAGGGCACCCAUUCCGAU